GACGAACGCUGGCGGCGUGCUUAACACAUGCAAGUCGAACGGAAAGGCCCUGCUUUUGUGGGGUGCUCGAGUGGCGAACGGGUGAGUAACACGUGAGUAACCUGCCCUUGACUUUGGGAUAACUUCAGGAAACCGGGGCUAAUACCGGAUAGGAGCUCCUGCUGCAUGGUGGGGGUUGGAAAGUUUCGGCGGUUGGGGAUGGACUCGCGGCUUAUCAGCUUGUUGGUGGGGUAGUGGCUUACCAAGGCUUUGACGGGUAGCCGGCCUGAGAGGGUGACCGGCCACAUUGGGACUGAGAUACGGCCCAGACUCCUACGGGAGGCAGCAGUGGGGAAUAUUGCACAAUGGGCGGAAGCCUGAUGCAGCAACGCCGCGUGCGGGAUGACGGCCUUCGGGUGGUAAACCGCUUUCGCCUGUGACGAAGCGUGAGUGACGGUAAUGGGUAAAGAAGCACCGGCUAACUACGUG
rnacentral:rRNA from 1 species